GAUGAACGCUGGCGGCGUGCUUAACACAUGCAAGUCGAACGAAGCACUUUCUUACGAUCCCUUCGGGGUGACGAGUUAGUGACUGAGUGGCGGACGGGUGAGUAACGCGUGGGCAACCUGCCUUAUACAGGGGGAUAACAGUUGGAAACGGCUGCUAAUACCGCAUAAGCGCACAGUACCGCAUGGUACAGUGUGAAAAACUCCGGUGGUAUAAGAUGGACCCGCGUCUGAUUAGCUAGUUGGUGAGGUAACGGCCCACCAAGGCGACGAUCAGUAGCCGAUCUGAGAGGAUGAACGGCCACAUUGGGACUGAGACACGGCCCAGACUCCUACGGGAGGCAGCAGUGGGGAAUAUUGCACAAUGGGCGAAAGCCUGAUGCAGCGACGCCGCGUGAGUGAUGAAGUAUUUCGGUAUGUAAAGCUCUAUCAGCAGGGAAGAUAAUGACGGACU
rnacentral:rRNA from 1 species